rnacentral:rRNA from 1 species
GAAUUCGAUUCAGGCCUAACACAUGCAAGUCGAACGCCCCGCAAGGGGAGUGGCAGACGGGUGAGGAACACGUGGGAACGUGCCUUUUGGUUCGGAAUAACUCAGGGAAACUUGUGCUAAUACCGGAUAAGCCCUUCGGGGGAAAGAUUUAUCGCCAAAAGAUCGGCCCGCGUCUGAUUAGCUAGUUGGUGAGGUAAAGGCUCACCAAGGCGACGAUCAGUAGCUGGUCUGAGAGGAUGAUCAGCCACACUGGGACUGAGACACGGCCCAGACUCCUACGGGAGGCAGCAGUGGGGAAUAUUGGACAAUGGGGGCAACCCUGAUCCAGCCAUGCCGCGUGAGUGAAGAGAGGUCUUCGGAUUGUAAAGCUCUUUUGGCGGGGACG